AUUCGAAGCCGAGGAUAAUAAGGAGAAGACGCCAGAGCCAGCAUCCCUCCGAUACCUCGUCCAUUGUGUCGCAGUGACGUAGCACGGUUCUCAAACCCACUGCGCUGCUUUCUUCACCCCGGCCCAGAGACGGCCAGUGACGGUACCAUGGCUUAGGCUGUAAUGAUUAGGACAGUGAGAGUACGCCGUUGUGCGCCACACGCCCCCUGACGCAUGCACGCCCUCUCUACUACAGAGUGACGUGCAGGCCUCCCCAUGUACGCCUCCUCUGCUUGGGUCGCGCUGGUCCGGAAAUUCCGUAGACCCACGUAAUCUCUACCUGGAAGGGACGUGUCACCCCCACCUGGUGAACACUGGCAGGUAAGAUCUCUCCCUUGACCCACUGGACCUGAAGGCAGAGAGUACCAGCACAAAUUACUAAGCAUCCUAAAGUAAAGUAUGAGUGGAGACUCCCAGCCAGUAGAGACUACUGAACGCCUUGAGGUGCGGUCACACCAGUACAUUUCCCGUCAAUUUUUUCGUCAACUCCUGCUUCCGCCAACUGUCGUCUUUUUUCUUCUGCAUCGUCACACGGCAGUGGUCGUCUUCGCGGAGGAGGGCUAUCGUCAAAUGGAAAAUCCAUUAUACCCGCCACGCCUGUAACACAAGACUGUAUCAGAGGAACAAAAGAAUAACGAAACCACGGCAAAGUAGCGGUGAACGAACGCAAUAAAAGGACGACAUGUUAGGGAACCAUCAUCAUGAUCAAGGAAGCGGAAGGGAAAUCCUAAGCCAAGCAGGAAGGACUCAUGCUUAGGCCUACACCGAGGCGCUGAGGGAGGCCGGGCGUGUCUCCUGGCGGCGGGGGAACAAGGCUCCUUUUUCCCAUAUUCAUGUGUUUACCUAAUGGUUGACACGGCCUGGCUACGCAUUCCGCUGCUGUGUUGGAAGAGUGCUGGCGCUGUAUUCUCGGCGUGCUCCUGGCAGAUGACUGAAAGUGGCGGAGCGACGGAGACUGGGAAGCCCUCCUCCAUAUCUAUAUUCUGAGCUGAAAUAAAGCGUUUAGUGCUCACCUUUCCUCAGCCGUCCUGUCAUCAAGGGAGAUGUUAGUCAGGUGUGUUGUUGUUGUU